rnacentral:rRNA from 1 species
AACGGCCGCGGUAUUUUGACCGUGCAAAGGUAGCAUAAUCAUUAGUCUUUUAAUAGGGGGCUGGAAUGAAAGGUUUAACGAAACAUAAGCUUUCUUAUUUGUAUAAGUUGAAUUUAACCUUUAAGUCAAAAGGCUUAAAUUUUUUUGUAGGACGAGAAGACCCUAUAGAGCUUUACAUUAUUUAGUUUUCUUUUUAUUAGUUUGAUUUCAUUUAGAAAUUUAAAUUUUUGUUUUGUUGGGGUGACAAAAAUAUAUAAUUAACUUUUAUUAUUAAAUUUACAUUUAUGUAUGAUUUACUGGAUCCAUUAUUAUUGAUCAUUAGAUUAAGUUACCUUAGGGAUAACAGCGUAAUCUUCUUUCAGAGUUCAAAUUUACAAGAAGGAUUGCGACCUCGAUGUUGGAUUAAGAUUAUAAUCAGGUGCAGUAGCUUGAUUAAUAGGUCUGUUCGAC